rnacentral:rRNA from 1 species
ACGGAAGGCAGCAGUGGGGAAUAUUGCACAAUGGGGGAAACCCUGAUGCAGCAACGCCGCGUGAAGGAAGACGGUCUUCGGAUUGUAAACUUUUGUUCUUAGUGAAGAUAAUGACGGUAGCUAAGGAGCAAGCCACGGCUAACUACGUGCCAGCAGCCGCGGUAAUACGUAGGUGGCAAGCGUUGUCCGGAAUUACUGGGUGUAAAGGGAGCGCAGGCGGGAAAUCAAGUUGGAUGUGAAAUGUCGGGGCUUAACCCCGGAACUGCAUCCAAAACUGAUUUUCUUGAGUGAAGUAGAGGUAGGCGGAAUUCCGAGUGUAGCGGUGAAAUGCGUAGGUAUUCGGAGGAACACCAGUGGCGAAGGCGGCCUACUGGGCUUUAACUGACGCUGAGGCUCGAAAGUGUGGGGAGCAAACAGGAUUAGAUACCCUGGUA